GCGGUAGCACAGAGAGCUUGCUCUCGGGUGACGAGCGGCGGACGGGUGAGUAAUGUCUGGGAAACUGCCUGAUGGAGGGGGAUAACUACUGGAAACGGUAGCUAAUACCGCAUAACGUCGCAAGACCAAAGUGGGGGACCUUCGGGCCUCAUGCCAUCAGAUGUGCCCAGAUGGGAUUAGCUGGUAGGUGGGGUAACGGCUCACCUAGGCGACGAUCCCUAGCUGGUCUGAGAGGAUGACCAGCCACACUGGAACUGAGACACGGUCCAGACUCCUACGGGAGGCAGCAGUGGGGAAUAUUGCACAAUGGGCGCAAGCCUGAUGCAGCCAUGCCGCGUGUGUGAAGAAGGCCUUCGGGUUGUAAAGCACUUUCAGCGGGGAGGAAGGCGGUGAGGUUAAUAACCUCAUCGAUUGACGUUACCCGCAGAAGAAGCACCGGCUAACUACGUGCCAGCAGCCGCGGUAAUACGUAGGGUGCGAGCGUUAAUCGGAAUUACUGGGCGUAAAGCGAGCGCAGACGGUUACUUAAGCAGGAUGUGAAAUCCCCGGGCUCAACCUGGGCACUGCGUUCUGAACUGGGUAGCUAGAGUGUGUCAGAGGGAGGUAGAAUUCCACGUGUAGCAGUGAAAUGCGUAGAGAUGUGGAGGAAUACCGAUGGCGAAGGCAGCCUCCUGGGAUAACACUGACGUUCAUGCUCGAAAGCGUGGGUAGCAAACAGGAUUAGAUACCCUGGUAGUCCACGCCCUAAACGAUGUCAAUUAGCUGUUGGGGUACUAGAUGCCUUAGUAGCGAAGCUAACGCGUGAAAUUGACCGAAUGGGGAGUACGGUCGCAAGA
rnacentral:rRNA from 1 species